UACUGUUAAUGAUGAUGUAUAAAGUUAAACAGAUGGGAAUCUCUCUGAAUAAGAUUGAAGAUUAAUUCUUAAAGCUGAAACAGUA